rnacentral:rRNA from 1 species
AUUGAACGCUGGCGGCAUGCUUUACACAUGCAAGUCGAACGGCAGCACGAAAGAGCUUGCUCUUUUGGUGGCGAGUGGCGAACGGGUGAGUAAUGCAUCGGAACGUACCGAGUAAUGGGGGAUAACUAUCCGAAAGGAUAGCUAAUACCGCAUACGCUUUGAGAAGGAAAGUGGGGGCUCUUCGGACCUCACGUUAUUCGAGCGGCCGAUGUCUGAUUAGCUAGUUGGUGGGGUAAAGGCCUACCAAGGCGACGAUCAGUAGCGGGUCUGAGAGGAUGAUCCGCCACACUGGGACUGAGACACGGCCCAGACUCCUACGGGAGGCAGCAGUGGGGAAUUUUGGACAAUGGGCGCAAGCCUGAUCCAGCCAUGCCGCGUGUCUGAAGAAGGCCUUCGGGUUGUAAAGGACUUUUGUUGGGGAAGAAAAGGAUAGUGUUAAUACCAUUA